UACGUAGGGUGCGAGCGUUGUCCGGAAUUAUUGGGCGUAAAGAGCUUGUAGGCGGUCUGUCGCGUCUGCUGUGAAAAUCCGGGGCUCAACCCCGGACUUGCAGUGGGUACGGGCAGACUAGAGUGUGGUAGGGGAGACUGGAAUUCCUGGUGUAGCGGUGAAAUGCGCAGAUAUCAGGAGGAACACCGAGUGGCGAAGGCAGGUCUCUGGGCCAACUACUG
rnacentral:rRNA from 1 species